CGCGUAGGCGGGCGAUCAAGUCCGGGGUGAAAUCUUUCGGCUUAACCGGAAAAGUGCCUUGGAUACUGAUUGUCUUGAGGGAGGUAGGGGGAUGUGGAACUUCCGGUGGAGCGGUGAAAUGCGUUGAUAUCGGAAGGAACGCCGGUGGCGAAAGCGACGUCCUGGACCUCUUCUGACGCUGAGGCGCGAAAGCUAGGGGAGCGAACGGGAUUAGAUACCCCGGUAGUCCUAGCCCUAAACGAUGGGUACUAGGUAGUGGACUUAACAUGGGUUCACUGCCGAAGCAAAAGUGUUAAGUACCCCGCCUGGGGAGUAUGGUCGCAAGGCUGAA
rnacentral:rRNA from 1 species